UGCCUCGCCGGGGCUACCUGGUUCUGCCCCGAGCUGGCCCCUCCUCCUCCUGUUGUGCUCGUCCUCGAGCAAGCUGGGGGAUGCAGCAUCGUAGUAGCUUCAUUUGAACCGGGACCCGACGUGACCCAUCACCGCGUGGAUCAAGCAGGAACGGGUCCGGAUCGAAUCCUGCGCCCAGAUCCGCUGCUCGGUUGCCUCAUCUCCGCCCCCACGCUCGCCGGAGAUCGCGUCAGGCACCCGCAACUCGCGUUCGUCAGCCAUACAGCAAACCAUCGUUGGUUCUGUUUUUCAGUCACAUCCGCGCUAAGGUAUGGUACAUAUUGCGUGGAUAUCCAUCUUGGAUUGAACUCAUGGCAUAGCUGAGCUGGUCAACCAACAACGCUUCCUAGCAAGAGGUCCUGGGUUCGAGUCUCAAUGACCCCAAUUUUGCCCUGUUUUUGUUUAAUUGCACCCUGCGGUGGGACUUGUUAUCCCAUGUUAGUCUGCUCAAGUAUCAUAGAGAUAGGCCUAGCCUGGUUGGCCAUCACGACUUGCCUCCACACACGAGGUCUUGGGUUCAAAUCCACCAGAUUACGCUUCUUUUUUUUGCACACACACACACUCAGCCCCUCGGGCUUAUUCAAUUAUGGCGUGUUGCACUAUGUUGCAAUUCGGCCCAUAGCUAUUUUUUCGCUGUCUACGUUUUUGCUAUUAACUAGCGAAUUUGCUAGAUUUCACAAAAUAGCAUGUUCCUCAACCGUCUGUAACUUUGUAACUGCUCAAUGGACCGGAACGAGUUAUAUAUAUAAGACGUGCAAAAUUUUGCGUAGAUUAAUAUUUUCCAACUCUCAUGCAUAAUUAGAACUGUUUAGUGUGUUGUUUACAUCUGUUUUGCGUGUCGACGUGUUCAAAAUGGUUUAGGUCAUAACUAUUUGUCCGUAGCUCCGUUGGAGAUGUGCCGUAUGUAAAUGGAGCAGAAUGACGAGUAGAAUCACGUCAACCACUUUGUUUUGCCGUUUAACAAACCUAAAAUGUGUUUAGGACAAAUCUGGAAAGAAUUAAGAUUUAACACGUGGGUCAUUUCGGAGAUGCUAUAUGACGUUUCCGGCCUCAUUUAAAAUGCCUAGCUAGGUAGAUUAAUUUGUGCUUCACCCCGUGCCAUGUUAACAACAUUUUAAUAUUGUCGUGUUAAUAAACAGGAAUGAACUAAAUAAUUAAACGUGGAGCUUCGUCGAUAUACAAAUCGUUGCAUAUCGGGCUUCACUUAAUGUGUANNNNNNNNNNNNNNNNNNNNNNNNNNNNNNNNNNNNNNNNNNNNNNNNNNNNNNNNNNNNNNNNNNNNNNNNNNNNNNNNNNNNNNNNNNNNNNNNNNNNNNNNNNNNNNNNNNNNNNNNNNNNNNNNNNNNNNNNNNNNNNNNNNNNNNNNNNNNNNNNNNNNNNNNNNNNNNNNNNNNNNNNNNNNNNNNNNNNNNNNNNNCAUCAUCUUAGGUUGUGUUGCAUGUCGUGCAUUUGCCAUGGUGAAUAUCUGUGUUGAUGUUUGUUUCCGGUUUGUUCGUCUCGAUAGAGUUCCGUAAGCGUGUCCGAAUGUGAGGACCCGUUCGACUACGUUGGUUCGCCGACUUCACAAAGUUGUUCUUCUUCCAAGCGGGAUCUCAGGCAAGAUGACCAUUUCCCCAGAUACCAUUACUAUCAUUGCCAUGCUAGUUUUACCGCUUCUAUCGAUUAUGUCUCGUUGCCUACCACAUGUUAAAUAUCAGCCUCUCAACAAUGCCAUGAUUACCUUCAACCUGCUCAACCUAGCAAACCACUGAUUGGCUAUGUUACCGCUUGCCUAACCAUGUUGUUAGUGUUGCUAGUUGCAGGUUAGUUGCUUCCAUGUGUUAACAUGGGUUCCUUGUUAUAUCACCAUAUUAAAUGCUAUUUAAUUUAAUGCAUCAAUAUACUUGGUAAAAGGUGGAAGGCUCGGCCUUUCUAGCCUGGUGUUUUGUUCCACCUUUGCCCCCUUAGUUUCGGCUACCGGUGUUAUGUUCCAUAAUUGAGCGCUCCUAACACGUUCGGGGUUGUUAUGGGGACCCCCUUGAUAAUUCGUUUUAGAUUAAAGCUGGUCUGGCAAGGCCCAACUUUGGUACUACAUUUUCCUAAUCACCUAAUAAAAUUGCAUAGGGACUUUCCGGACCCCAAGGAUAAUUUAAUCAACCCCCGGGCCAGUGCUCCACAUGAGUGUUGGUCCAAACUAGCAGGUAGGUGUUUAACACUGGUUCUAGAUAACUUGAAGUUAACUUAAUUAAAAUAUGCCAACUGUGUGCGUAACCAUGACUGUAUCUUUCGUGAGUUCCUUCUCCGAUCGAGGACACGGUGGGGUUAUGUCUGGCGUAGGUAGGUGUUCAGGAUCAUUUAUUUUGAUCAUCAGUAGUUCCCGUCCGUUAUGCGUAGAUCCUCCUCCUCUUAUUUCUCGUACUCGUAAGUUAGCCACUAUAGAUAUAUGCUUAGCCGCUGCUGCAACCUCACCACUUAACCUUACCUCACCCAUUAAGCUUUGCUAGUCUUGAUACCUUUGGAAAUGAGAUUGUUGAGUCCCCUGUGGCUCAGAGAUUACUACAACACCAGUUGCAGGUACAGGUAAAGGUUACUUGACGCGAGCGCGUUGAUUGUUCAUCUGGAGUUGCUUCUUCUUCUUCUUCAUCAUCGAUCUAGGAUGGGUUCCAGGCCGGCAGCCUGGGAUAGCAAGGAUGGACAUCGUUCUUCUUUUCUCGUUUGUUUUCGUCCGUAGUUGGACCCUGCUCGUACUCUUGAUGAUUAUGUAAUGUACUGAUGUGACUCUCAUGUAUCUUGUGGCGAGUGUAAGCCAAUUCUAAAUGUAUAUCUCAUCUUUUCAGUACAUGUACUUGUAACGAUAUCCAUUCUUGCGACACGACGAGAUGCGCUUCUAUCCCUGACGAGGCCUUCGUGCCAAAUUGAGGAUAGGGUCGCAUCUUGGGCGUGACAAGUUGGUAUCAGAGCAGUACCGACCUAGGAGCCCCCUUGAUUGAUCGAACAUGGCCGAGUCGAGUCUAGUGAAAAACUGCUUUGAGUCUAGUUAUAUAUCGGAGAGUACGAUUCUUUUUUCUCCUCUACUAUCCUCUGGUGAGGAAUCUUGACGUAAUAAUUUAAUUCUACUCCUCUUCUCACUCAAAAAAAUUUUAGGAUCACGCGGAUAUUCUUGGGAUCUAUAUGAUGCGGAUGUGACGGAGUUCUGUCUUGGUGCCUCCUAUCUGCUUUGAGUUUCAGGGGAGUUGAGCUCUAGGGGAUUCUCGAGCACAUCGUUAUCAUUCAGAUUUCUUAGUAUCUCAGAACGAAGGAUGUUCGUAAUUGCUUCAAUACUAGUAGUGGCGAGAUAACCCCGAUGUCCCCGGUACUGGUGCAGAUUGUUCGGGAGUACUGCCAUACUUUGUAUCAUUGUGAUCACGAGGGUCUGUUGUAGAUGAAGGUCCGAGAUUCUGGUCAUGUGUUGACGGAUGUGAUACAAGUGACGGGUUAGUAUAGGAGUUGUGUGAUUAUUACUCCUUGUAUCCGUGUACCAGAUUGCAUGACCAGAUAUUUCGGGAAUUCUUAGGUGGGAAUUCAAGUAGUUACUUAUAGGACAAUCUUCCAACAAAUGCAUGAUGUUAGGUUGGGGUUCGACAUCUAGUGGAUUCCUGUCCACGAAAAUAUCGGACGAAAUCUUUCUCAUGAGUUUGUUCUGGCUUGUUUCAUAAGCCUCACCCUUUGUUUGUUGGAAUAUGGUAACUCAAGUUGCUUCGGUGUCAAAUGGUGAUUUCAGAUCUUCUCUAAGAGGUGUUCUCAUAUUUUUAUGUGAGAAUGCAAAUUCUUUUGUUCGUUCAAUUGUCAUAUCAUUUUUGUCAACCGGAGUUGUCAUGUUAAUUCUUUUCCAACCGGCGUGUUUCUCUCCAAGUGGAUUCAAUCUUCUCCAGUUGUUGCAGAUCAUUCUCUCAUUUUAUUCCGGAGUUCAUCUCAUCUGUCCCAUGUUGUCUUUGUUUUUCCCGCCCUCCCACCCUUUUCUUCAGUGACUCAAUUUUCAUCCAAGAGUUUUCUUUUCAUUGUGCUUCCGCUGUGUGUUAUUUUCUCUCUUACCCGGUGAUUCGUUGUGAGGAUUCUCAGGAGCUUCAUGUUCAUCUUUAUGCAUUCUUGUCAUCCUUACCGGUGAAUUCAGUUUGGUUAUCCAUGGUCAUCAUAUCCUUUUCAACCAUUAAAUUCUUUCCGACGUUGGAAAUUCUUUGAGCCUAUCUUGUUACUAAUUCCUCUCUCUUUCUAUGCGGAGUGUUAAAGAUAUUUCAGGUGUUCUGGGUUUCAAUCCUUCAGUUAUUUCGAGGUGCUAACCUCAUCUAGUUUUCUUUUUACCGGUGCAAUAUCUCUCUUUCUAGCAAUUUUUCUAACGGUGGUUUCUUUGAGUGGGCCCAUAACCCACAGGUUCUUUCCCAGGAUCUUUCCUGGCGCUUUUAAUCUUUUCCCGAAGAUCUCUAAUUCUUUCAACUAUGACGUAAGUAUGAAUUUCAUCAGUCAUAUUCUUUCUUCAAGAUCUAUUCGAAUUAAUUCUCAUAUUUGGCUCAACAUUUCAUUCUUCAUUAUUCCGUAGUGUCUCGGUAUUCUUGGUGUUGUUUCUCGUCAUCAUUCUCAGCUUGUAGUCUGAAGGAGUGGUUCUCUCAAAUUUUGGUUCAUUCUCUUGAAGAUUCGUCAUUUCAGCUUCGUGAUAUCAUUUUGAAUUUGUUUUCCAUCAUGAGUAUCCCUUUAUUGCUAUCUGGUGCAUUUCUGAGUUGUUUUCAUUCUCGAUCCUCCGAAGGCCAUCAUUUUAGAAGAUUCUUCGUUCUCAGCUUUCAGCUUUCAUCCUCGAUUCUUCUCAAUUGUUGUCUCUUCGUUCGUCUCUCGAUUAUCCGAUGCCUUGUUCAAGUUUUCUGUUAGGUGGAUCACGAUCUCUUCAUUCUCAUGUAUCUCCAUUAAUUCGUGGUGUUCCCAUUCAAUUGUGAAUUCUUACCGGUGCUUCAUUCAUUUGUGCCUCAAGUGGUGCUUAUCUCUCUAUCUCUUCAAGAUUCUUUCAAGAAGAAUAAGUUGUAUGCUAAAUCCGUUGCUUGUCAUCAAUUAAACUUGAUGAAGGAUAAGCAUAACAUAAUUCUUAUUCUUGUUCAUAGUAAUUUGCAUUCUUCUUCCAGAGUGGCUCAUAUUAUCAAUUCCUUUUUCUCAAGUGUUCUUUUUUUUCCUGGAGUUCCAAGUUUCUCAAGUAUCUCUUCGUGAAGCUUAAUCGAAGUCUUUGCAAGGCUUCAAUCUUAUUCUUUCAUCCUUCUUAUCUUUGCAUCAUCCUUUUGUUACGAAGGCUCGUCAUGGUGGUUCUUCAAGGAUGUGAUUCAUUCUAAAGUGUUCUUCAAGAUUCUUGCUGGAGCACCUCAAAUAUCUUUUCUCUUGCAUUUCUAUGUGCAAUUGUUCUCCUUUAUUCCUUGAGGUGGUAUUAUAGCAUUCUUGUUAGUGUAGGAGCCUCGAAGAGUUUUCCUUUCAAGAAUGAGAUAUUAAACCACAAAUUUUAUGAUCAUGAGAUAUUUUCAACCCAUGAUUUCUUCAUUGAGCUAACUUGGUACGGAUUGUUGCUAUCAUGGUGCUUGUCGUUAAUCCAAGUUCUCAAUGUAUCCUCUUGGUGUAAGGAAUUGUUCAUAUCUUGUUUCUCCCAAUCAUUCAUUGUUUCUUUUAGUGGGUGGUUGUCAUCUCAUAAAUGUGAGAUGAUUUUCAUAAGCCCACUACUAUCUUGUUCUUUUCGUUGUUGUUUUUCCAACAACUCCGUCCAAUUUUUCUUGCAAGCAUGCUUGCCAAGUUCAUUGGAGUUAGUAGUUGUCAUUCUCUCUUCAUUCUCUUCUUCCGUAUGAGCUAGUUCCUAUUCUAUUGUUCCGGAGGCAUUGUGAUGUUGCUCUUUUGGGUCAAUCUUGUUGUUCUAUCAAGAUCAUGGUGUUCCCUUGUUCUAUUUAGUUGUUUGAUAUGUGUAUUGUCUAAUUCUUCCAUCUUAUUGAAUUUUUGUCCCAUUUUCCUACCGAAGUGCUCCCGAAAUUUUCCGUGAAUUAUUGCUUCUUUCCCAUAUCAUUACUCAUCUCUUUGCAACUUUCAAGGAUCGUUGGUUUCACUCGUUUGUCAAAGAAGCGACGAAGUUCUUACCUCUUGUUCUUUCUCAUCCUCUCCCCCUUUCAUUCUUGGAUCUCAGGGCGAGAUCCUCUUGUAGUGUAGGAGAGUUGUGACAGCCCGGUGCCGACGUUCCAGAAGAUUCCCCUUCUAUUCCGUUUUCGUAAUGUGUCUAUUUUCUGUUGUCGCAUCAUCAUCGCAUCAUGCGCAUCAUCUGCAUUGCAUCGGCAUCUCCGUUGCCGCCAGUUUUCAAACUUGCAUCCAUUGUUAGUUGUCGGUUCUCGUCGUUGUCCGUUCUGAGCCCGACCGCACACGCACGCGCCCGCAGCGUCGUCAAAUCCUUGUUUUUAAAAGUGUGCGUAAAACUUUCUCUGAUUGGGUUGAGAUUUGACGUGCGGUCUUAUUUUAAUAUAGGUAGGCUGCCUGUCAAAUUUUGUCGCGAUCGGAGUUCGUCUCGUAACCGAACGGUCGACCGUAGUGGCACCGUAUUCGGUCUAUCGUCGGACGUGUUUCGGUGUUUUAAAAAUACGUUGUCGGGUGGCGUUUUCCCUCUCAUCUCCGCCUAGCCCCUGUGCACACUGCUCCGUCCCUACGCGCAACCCAGUCCGACCCCCCCCCCCGACCCGAAAGUACGCUCGUGACCAUGGGGUCCGGAUCAACCCCGUUUUACCGCAAAUCGUCACCGAUUUGUCAACUAGACUCCCUAAACUAGUCAUUUUGACCGUCCGAUUUAAUCAAAGGGUCCAAAUGCCAAUUAGACCCAACCCUAANCGGUGCCCCGCGCCUCCGACCUUCGGGCAGCGCCAGUGUGCCUCGCCGGGGCUACCUGGUUCUGCCCCGAGCUCGCCCCUCCUCCUCCUGUUGUGCUCCUCCUCGAGCAAGUUGGGGGAUGCAGCAGCGUAGUAGCUUCGUUUGAACCGGGACCUGACGUGACCCAUCACUGCGUGGAUCAAGCAGGAACGGGUCCGGAUCGAAUCCUGCGCCCAGAUCCGCCGCUCGGUCGCCUCAUCUCCGCCCCCAGGCUCGCCGGAGAUCGCGUCAGGCACCCGCAACUCGCGUCCGUCGGCCAUACAGCAAACCAUCGCUGGUUCUGUUUUUCAGUCAGAUCCGCGCUAAGGUAUGGUACAUAUUGCGUGGAUAUCCAUCUUGGAUCGAACUCAUGGCUUAGCUGAGUUGGUCAACCAACAACGCUUCCUAGCAGUAGGUCCUGGGUUCGAGUCUCAACGACCCCAAUUUUGCC
rnacentral:lncRNA from 1 species